GACGAACGCUGGCGGCGUGCUUAACACAUGCAAGUCGAACGGAAAGGCCCUGCUUGCAGGGUACUCGAGUGGCGAACGGGUGAGUAACACGUGGGUGAUCUGCCCUGCACUUCGGGAUAAGCUUGGGAAACUGGGUCUAAUACCGGAUAGGACCGCACUUUAGUGUGUGUGGUGGAAAGUUUUUUCGGUGUAGGAUGAGCUCGCGGCCUAUCAGCUUGUUGGUGGGGUAAUGGCCUACCAAGGCGGCGACGGGUAGCCGGCCUGAGAGGGUGUACGGCCACAUUGGGACUGAGAUACGGCCCAGACUCCUACGGGAGGCAGCAGUGGGGAAUAUUGCACAAUGGGCGCAAGCCUGAUGCAGCGACGCCGCGUGGGGGAAGAAGGCCUUCGGGUUGUAAACUCCUUUCGCUAGGGACGAAGCUUUUUGCGACGGUACCUAGAUAAGAAGCACCGGCUAACUACGUG
rnacentral:rRNA from 1 species